UGGAACGAAAAUGUAGCUUUUCGAUUUCGUUUUGCAGAAAAAAGCUCUGUCGGAACAACAAGUUUGCCGUUAGGGUGUUUGGUUAGCCGUUUCCGGGAAGAUUCAUCACAGCCUGCUGGAAGACACACUUGCCCGGACACGUUGAAAAAUUGGGGAUUUAAAUCCUCCGGAGCCGAAGAAAUUGUUUUUUGUGCUGAUUCGAAGAUCCGACCCAGUUAGGCGAUGAGUUUUUGACACCGCCGGAAGCUGGUAUCUUCCAGCCGCCGGAGAUUGUAUGCAUUCGACGCUCCGGAAGAACGUUCAUGAUGCCUAAAGUGAACGACGAAAACAAGGUACUUUGGAAUAAUUUACAAGAAGUCAGCUUAUUUCGAUCUGAGAGGCUGGGGGAAACAUAAAUUCUAGGACACAGUCGAACAACUGGAAAU